AUUGAACGCUGGCGGCAUGCCUUACACAUGCAAGUCGAACGGUAACAGGUCUUCGGAUGCUGACGAGUGGCGAACGGGUGAGUAAUACAUCGGAACGUGCCUAGUAGUGGGGGAUAACUACUCGAAAGAGUGGCUAAUACCGCAUGAGAUCUACGGAUGAAAGCAGGGGAUCGCAAGACCUUGUGCUACUAGAGCGGCCGAUGGCAGAUUAGGUAGUUGGUGGGAUAAAAGCUUACCAAGCCAACGAUCUGUAGCUAGUCUGAGAGGACGAUCAGCCACACUGGGACUGAGACACGGCCCAGACUCCUACGGGAGGCAGCAGUGGGGAAUUUUGGACAAUGGGCGCAAGCCUGAUCCAGAAAUUCAGCGUGCAGGAUGAAGGCCUUCGGGUUGUAAACUGCUUUUGUACGGAACGAAAAGCCCUGGGUUAAUACCCUGGGGUCAUGACGGUACCGUAAGAAUAAGCACCGGCUAACUACGUGCCAGCCGCCGCAGUAA
rnacentral:rRNA from 1 species